UUUCUUCUUCCUGUCCAGCCCCCUCCGAACAGUUCGCCGAUUGGCUGCGACUUUCGGGCCAGCCCCGCCCCACUGGCGCUGGUACCGGCGCAGAGUGCACCGCCUCGGUCUUUCUGUCCCCGGCUUGGAGGCCGAGCCUCCGGAGCCGGGUCCCCAAUGCCCAGUCGUGCUGCUGUCUCGGACCCAAGCGCAGGUUGAAAGCUACAAGAAACGAGUGCGCUAAUGCCUUGAAGUGGGUUCCCAGGGGGUAAAUCCUCCAAGGUGAAGUAGACUGACCCAUGUCUCUUUAGGAUUAGGGGUGUUGUAGCAGAUUCAUUGCCACCCACUUUGUUACUGAGAUAGGUGCUAUAGUUCCCAUUUGACAGUAAGAGCCAUGUGAGAGUAUCCCUGAAUAGCCUUGUAAUAAUUGAUUGUGCUGGAGGAGGUUUCUCCAUGCCUGGCUGCCCUGGAACUCAGAUUAGCCUGACUCUGAGUGCUGGAACUAAAGGCCUACGCCAUCAUGCCUGGCUAUAACAUGCUAGGUCAUUUGAAUGUGUUGGUAUGGAAGAUGAUGUUUGUAGUCCCCUGAAUGCUAGGACAAGUUCUUUGUUCCUGCUUAGUCAUGUGCCAGCAGACAAGAUGUAUUAAUCUGUAUAUUGUUGCCUGUCAUUAAUUUUCCAGAAUCUUUAAUAAAGGCUUUUCCUGUG